GCUGCCGUAGCUCAGUGGUAGAGCACUCCCUUGGUAAGGGAGAGGCCGAGAGUUCAAUCCUCUCCGGCAGCACCA
rnacentral:tRNA from 2 species